UAUGUCUAAAGAGAAUUCAAAACAGAGU
rnacentral:piRNA from 1 species